AGGACGAACGCUGGCGGCGUGCUUAACACAUGCAAGUCGAGCGGUAAGGCCCUUUCGGGGGUACACGAGCGGCGAACGGGUGAGUAACACGUGGGUGACCUGCCCUUAGCUCUGGGAUAAGCCUGGGAAACUGGGUCUAAUACCGGAUAUGACCUCGCGAUGCAUGUCGUGGGGUGGAAAGCCUUGUGCGGCUAGGGAUGGGCCCGCGGCCUAUCAGCUUGUUGGUGGGGUGAUGGCCUACCAAGGCGACGACGGGUAGCCGGCCUGAGAGGGCGACCGGCCACACUGGGACUGAGACACGGCCCAGACUCCUACGGGAGGCAGCAGUGGGGAAUCUUGCGCAAUGGGCGAAAGCCUGACGCAGCGACGCCGCGUGAGGGAUGAAGGCCUUCGGGUUGUAAACCCCUUUCAGCAGGGACGAAGCGAAAGUGACGGUACCUGCAGAAGAAGCGCCGGCUAACUACGUGCCAGCAGCCGC
rnacentral:rRNA from 1 species